CAAUAGCGUAUAUUAAAGUUGUUGCGGUAAAAAAGCUCGUAGUUGGAUUUCUACCGAAGAUAGCCGGUCGGGUCUUCGACCUUGUAUCUGGUUUUGUCUUUGGUAUCCUCAUAGGGAACGUUUCUGCGCUUUAUUACGUGGUGCGGUAUCUAUGACUUUUACUUUGAGGAAAUUAGAGUGUUCACGGCAGGCAAACGCCUUGAAUAUAUUAGCAUGGAAUAAUAACAUAGGAUCUUCGUCCUAUUUUGUUGGUUUCUAGGGCUAAGAUAAUGAUUAAUAGGGAUAAUUGGGGGCAUCUGUAUCAACGCGUCAGAGGUGGAAUUCUUGGAUUGCGUUGCGACAAACUACUGCGAAAGCAUUUGCCAAGGAUGUUUUCAUUGA
rnacentral:rRNA from 1 species